rnacentral:rRNA from 1 species
AUUGAACGCUGGCGGCAGGCCUAACACAUGCAAGUCGAACGGUAACAGGAAACAGCUUGCUGUUUCGCUGACGAGUGGCGGACGGGUGAGUAAUGUCUGGGAAACUGCCUGAUGGAGGGGGAUAACUACUGGAAACGGUAGCUAAUACCGCAUAACGUCGCAAGCCCAAAGAGGGGGACCCUCGGGCAUCUUGCCAUCGGAUGUGCCCAGUUGGGAUUAUCUUCUUGGUGGGGUAACGACUCACCAAGGCGCCGAUCCCUAGCUGGUCUGAGGGGCUGACCAUCACCACUGGAACUACGACACGGUCCAGAAUCCGACGGGAGUCAGCAGUGGGGAAUAAUGCACAAUGGGCGCAAGCCUGAUGCAGCCAUGCCGCGUGUAUGAAGAAGGCCUUCGGGUUGUAAAGUACUUCCAGCGGGGAGGAAGGGAGUAAAGUUAAUACCUUUGCUCAUUGACGUUACCCGCAGAAGAAGCACCGGCUAACUCCGUGCCUGCCGCCGCGGUAA